rnacentral:rRNA from 1 species
UGGGGAAUUUUGCACAAUGGGGGAAACCCUGAUGCAGCGACGCCGCGUGAUUUAGAAGGCCUUCGGGUUGUAAAAAUCUUUUCUAUGGGAAGAAAAUGACAGUACCAUAGGAAUAAGGACCGGCUAAUUACGUGCCAGCAGCCGCGGUAAUACGUAAGGUCCGAGCGUUGUCCGGAAUCAUUGGGCGUAAAGGGUACGUAGGCGGGUAAGCAAGUUAGAAGUGAAAUCCUAUAGCUCAACUAUAGUAAGCUUUUAAAACUGCUCAUCUUGAGGUAUGGAAGGGAAAGUGGAAUUCCUAGUGUUGCGGUGAAAUGCGCAGAAAUUAGGAGGAAUACCGGUGGCGAAGGCGACUUUCUGGCCAUAACCUGACGCUGAGGUACGAAAGCGGGGGUAGCAAACAGG